GUGGGGAAUCUUAGACAAUGGGGGCAACCCUGAUCUAGCCUUGCCGCGUGAGUGAUGAAGGCCUUAGGGUUGUAAAGCUCUUUCAGUGGGGACGAUAAUGACGGUACCCACAGAAGAAGCCCCGGCUAACUUCGUGCCAGCAGCCGCGGUAAUACGAAGGGGGCUAGCGUUGUUCGGAUUUACUGGGCGUAAAGCGCACGUAGGCGGAUCGUUAAGUCGGGGGUGAAAUCCUGGAGCUCAACUCCAGAACUGCCUUCGAUACUGGCGAUCUUGAGUCCGGAAGAGGUGAGUGGAACUCCUAGUGUAGAGGUGGAAUUCGUAGAUAUUAGGAAGAACACCAGUGGCGAAGGCGGCUCACUGGUCCGGUACUGACGCUGAGGUGCGAAAGCGUGGGGAGCAAACAGGAUUAGAUACCCCGGUAGUCC
rnacentral:rRNA from 1 species